GACUCUGUAGCUCAGUUGGUUAGAGCUCUGCACCGGAAUCGCAGGGCCGCAGGUUCGAUCCCUGCCAGAGGAU
rnacentral:tRNA from 1 species